UGGGGGAGUAUUGCGCAAUGGGGGAAACCCGUACGACGCAGCAACGCCGCGUGAAGGAAGAAGGUCUUCGGAUCGUAAACUUCUGUCUUCAGGGACGAAUAAUGACGGUACCUGAGGAGGAAGCCACGGCUAACUACGUGCCAGCAGCCGCGGUAAUACGUAGGGGGCAAGCGUUAUCCGGAUUUACUGGGUGUAAAGGGAGCGUAGACGGCAGGGCAAGUCUGAAGUGAAAGGCGGGGGCUCAACCCCCGGACUGCUUUGGAAACUGUCCGACUGGAGUGCAGGAGAGGUAAGUGGAAUUCCUAGUGUAGCGGUGAAAUGCGUAGAUAUUAGGAGGAACACCAGUGGCGAAGGCGGCUUACUGGACUGUAACUGACGUUGAGGCUCGAAAGCGUGGGGAGCAAACAGGAUUAGAUACCCUGGUAGU
rnacentral:rRNA from 1 species